rnacentral:rRNA from 1 species
UUCACCUAGGGGGGCAGCAGUAGGGAAUCUUCCACAAUGGACGAAAGUCUGAUGGAGCAACGCCGCGUGAGUGAAGAAGGGUUUCGGCUCGUAAAGCUCUGUUGGGAGUGGAGAAAGAUAGAGGUAGUAAAUGGCCUUUAUUUGACGGUAAUUACUUUGAAAGUCACGGCUAAAUACGUGCCAGCAGCCGCGGUAAUACGUAGGGGGCGAGCGUUGUCCGGGUUUAUUGGGGGUAAAGCGAGUG